CAAGUUCUAUGCGCUUUUGUGGAUCUUGACAACAUGCAUCUUAUGUACUAUCUUGACGACAAAGGUAAACGAAUUUACACCAUGAAAGUAAAAAGUUGAUCCCUUAGGAAACCCAACAAAGUCAGCCCAUCCAGCACGCUUUUCUCCUGAUGACAAGUACUCU